rnacentral:rRNA from 1 species
UACGGAGGGUGCAAGCGUUAUCCGGAUUCACUGGGUUUAAAGGGUGCGUAGGCGGAUAGGUAAGUCCGUGGUGAAAUCCUGCAGCUUAACUGCAGAACUGCCGUGGAUACUAUCUAUCUUGAAUGUCGUGGAGGUUAGCGGAAUAUGUCAUGUAGCGGAUGAAAUGCUUAGAUAUGACAUAGAACACCCAUUGCGAAGGCAGCUAACUACGCGAUAAUUGACGCUGAUGCACGAAAGCGUGGGGAUCAAACAG